UUUUUCUCCUUCUAUUUUAAAAUUGUAUUAAAUUGGAACGAUACAGAGAAGAUUAGCAUGUCCAAGGAUGACACUCACAAAUCGAGAAAUGGUCCAUGAUUUA
rnacentral:snRNA from 1 species